rnacentral:rRNA from 1 species
AGGAUUAACGCUGGCGGCGUGCCUAACACAUGCAAGUCGAACGAGGUAGCAAUACCUAGUGGCAGACGGGUGAGUAGCGCGUGGUCAACCUACCGUUGAGUGGGGGAUAACUAGCCGAAAGGUUAGCUAAUACCGCAUACGUCUCCGAGGGGCAUCCCUUGGUGAUAAAAGGAGCAAUCCGCUCGAUGACGGGACCGCGUCCCAUUAGCUAGUUGGUGGGGUAACGGCCUACCAAGGCAUCGAUGGGUAGCUGGUUUGAGAGAGCGACCAGCCACACUGGGACUGAGAUACGGCCCAGACUCCUACGGGAGGCAGCAGUGAGGAAUUUUCCGCAAUGGGCGAAAGCCUGACGGAGCGACGCCGCGUGUGGGAAGAAGGCCUUCGGGUCGUAACCACUGUCGAAGGGGAGAUAAUGACGGUACCCUUGGAGGAAGCCCCGGCUAACUACGCGCCAGCAGCCGC